UACGUAGGUGACAAGCGUUGUCCGGAUUUACUGGGCGUAAAGAGCGCGCAGGCGGUCGAUCAAGUCGAGUGUGAAAGCCCCGGCUCAACUGGGGAGGGUCAUUCGAUACUGAUCGACUCGAAGGCAGGAGAGGGAAGUGGAAUUCCCGGUGUAGUGGUGAAAUGCGUAGAUAUCGAGCGGAACACCAGUGGCGAAGGCGAGUCCCUGGACAAUUCCUGACACUGAGGCACGAAAGCUAGGGGAGCAAACAGG
rnacentral:rRNA from 1 species